AUAAACCGUUGGGAUCGGUUCUGGAAUUUUUGAGCGGUCGGGAGUUCCCC
rnacentral:sRNA from 1 species